AGAACGCCUACAGGGAGAAGGUCUUCUCAUCCCUGCUGCAGCAUGAACCUGGUCAUGGUGGAGCUCGUCUGUGGGAAUGUGCAGGAGCACCUGACCACUCUACAGCAGGGAAGGGAAGACAGAGGCGCAACGGCUGGGCCUAGGUGGUGGCGGAGCGGGAGCUCGAUGUGCUGGAGCCGGAAGUGGAUUCCUGCUGCUGGAGAUGGAGCCUGAGGCAGUGACGGCGGGACCUCGACAAACUGGCACCGGCGGCGGGAUCCAGGUGAUGGAGCUCGAGGUGCUAUGCAUGCCUACAUGGAGUACCUGCAACAGCCAGUGUUGAGGACACUUCCGUGCUCUUCUGCAACAACGCCUUUCACGUGUUCUCGGCUGCUCCAGCCCUGGCUGGCCAGUGUUGCGAUUGCUAGGAAGAGAGGUGUCUGCUAGUUUCCAUGAUGGCUGAGCAGAGCAGCUUGAGGACGGUGACCCUUUAUUUUAUCUGACAAUGACUACAUCGGCUAUGGAGUAAUGGCAUGACCAUUGUGCUUUUUGUUUGGCUGCACAUGCUGGCACGAAGGGGCUGCCAGACUGUUGCUGACAUGAUCAAGGAGCUGCCAAGCUGAAGAGGUUCAGUUAACUCGAGCAUUGAAGAACCCCUAUCCAUAAUGCCACUUACCGAUCUGGCUUCGCUGGUUGCGGCCUCCAGUAGUAGCCCAUGUGCCUUUUAGUAGCAGUGAUGAAGAAGCCUGGAUGGUGUAAGAGAAUAAGAGUAGAUGAUUUAUGUUUCAAUCGUGGCGGCGAGUACAUGGCUUGGAUGGAGGAGGAAGGCACGGAGCAGAACCAGUGUGUGUGCGCGCGUGCGCCUGCCCACACACAAGUCCAAAAGGUUGUUAUAAUUUUUUGCCUUGCUGGAAGAGUGAGUAGGCUAAGAGCACAUUAGCUACCCAAGGCAUUAGUUGUUGUAUGUGUAGGUAAAAUUUUGGUGAUGAUCAAAUAAUUUAUUUUGGAAAGUUUUCAUUUGUUGAUGCGUUACAGUGCACAUGAGAUUUGUUGCAUAUGUGCCUCUGCAAGCGAGUAUGUGUACCCAACA